CCCUUAGAUGUCCUGGGCCGCACGCGCGUUACACUGAUGCAUUCAACGAGCUUAUAACCUUGGCCGAGAGGCCUGGGCAAUCUUGUUAACGCGCAUCGUGAUAGGGAUAGAUUAUUGAAAUUAUUAAUCUUGAACGAGGAAUUCCUAGUAAACGCAGAUCAUCAAUCUGCAUUGAUUACGUCCCUGCCCUUUGUACACACCGCCCGUCGCACCUACCGAUUGGAUGGUCCGGUGAAGCCUCGGGAUUGUGGUUCUUGCCGCUUUAUUGUGGCGUGACCGCGAGAACUUGUCUAAACCUUAUCAUCUAGAGGAAGGUGAAGUCGUAACA
rnacentral:rRNA from 1 species